ensembl:lncRNA
CUCCAGACAAAAGCUAACAGCCCCGGAUCAGAGAGGAAGACUGUGGUUUUUUUUUACAGACGAGGAGAACUGAAGCCCAAGCAGCAGAACGUGUCGAGAUCAUGCAGAUAGACACCGAGGUUGAAACCCAAGGGAAGGACCACACCCUGGGGCACCGAGAACAAAGAUUGGGAGGGAAGUGCCCAGGACCCAAGCGCUCCCAGAACAGUCACCAGCUAGCAGGCACCCUCAGGAUUUAGUUGACACUCUGCUGCCACCAAGUGGCAAUUCUAUGGCAUAUCAGCCAAACAGGCUUUUGAGAAAUAAUGUUUCCGGUCCUCAAAGCGACCGGCAAGACUGAAAACUAACUUCCAAUGACUCUAAGAUACCACCUUCCUCUCCACUCUCGUUUUCUCAAGAGCACACGGGUUUUCCUAAGGACUGUACAGCACGUGAUGUCACAGACAAGCAGAAGGGCUUCCAACUGCCCCCUAGUCAUUCACUAUAGAGGAGUGAACUCUCUGCCUAGCCAGGAGUACACAAUGGGAGAUCCUGAUUGGCCUCUGAAAAUACCACUCCUUCAACCCAACUGUGCAGCCUAGGCAGGCACUAGUGCAUGCCUGCUUGACACAUCCUGGGAUGGGAUAGAGGAGGCACUCUGGGUCCAUCCUGUAACAUACCAGGAGCACAGCACCUCACCAAGACCCUCAGUACCUGCCCGUGAUGCUGAAGUGGGGGUUGGGCCAGCCUCUUCCUGUUAAGGAGUCUAGUAAACUAGCACGAAAGCUUUGCCGGAGCUCCUCCACUCUUCCCUUGAGUCGGUGCCUGCACACAGCAGGGGCUCAACACAGGUGAUCACUAAGUGACCACAAGCCCAUCGGCUCAGAUCUACCCAAGGGACUUUGAGCUUCAAGAGCUGUGAAGGGUGGGCUUGGAGAGCAUUCUGAGGAAGCACCUGUGAUCUACACUGAAAAUGGUCAUGUCGGCCUCUAGGGGGCAGUUGUGAUUUGGUGCUUGGUUUGGGGCAAACCAAGGAAGAUCUUAAAACGUUUGUUUACAUGGCUGUGAAGACAGUUCCCUCACUGGGGUUUAAGACCACCCUGGACCACAUUUCUGCUUGGCUGGUGGCGACUGCGCAGGUGACAAUGUGAGGCAGGACUCUGAAGCCACAUUCAGCAGUGUGCUGAGAAGGGCUCUGGGGUGCAGUAGGCGUGGCUGCUGCAGGCGCAGAGCCGGAAGUGACAUCAUGGACGCGCGCCACGGAAGAGCAAGGUUAUCUCCUAUGUGGCUCCCAUAGGUGGUAAGGUAGAAGCACAAAGUCACACUGGGAAGCAGACUGCAUUUUAUUGGGAUUUCCACGUAGAAGUCACGCCCACAGAACACCCGCCCCUGUGAGCUCUGGCUGCCAUCUGCGGCUCAGGCAUGACACCAACACAUCACCCGCUCAGGCUUGGGAGCAAAUCUUUGGAUUUUCCUUCCCUGUAUGUUUCUUUCCAGACACUGAACCCUCCCUUCCCAACUUGAGGACCACGAAGAAAAUGACACAUGCUAACCUCCCCAUCCCUCUUAGUUCAGCUGGUUUCUUCUGGCAGCAUCUCCAAAGACCUAAACUGAAGAGAGAGGAGGGUGACCAAGGUCUCUCAGAAGUCAGGUUCUAACCCAGAGCUGAAAGAGAUGAUGGCUGCCUGACCCAUGUAUGGUCUGCUGUUUCCCACCAGCACUUGGACUCUGGAGAGAAAGUCUGCAGUCAUGAAGGAAGGGACUCGAAGCUCGGGAUGAUGGCUGUGUCCCACCUGGCACCGGACGGAGACGGCUGGGUCUUCCUACUCUCCAGUAAUGCACCCUUGCUGGCUCUACGGGCGCUGCAAUCGCAGCCUGCAGCGGGGUGAGGCCUGCUCAGAUUACGGUGGCGCAGAGAGGAGAGAGGGUGCAUAAAGAAUGCUCUUUUUGAGUUGUGGCCAGCAGGAUCUAGGCUUGGACACACCCACAUGGAGAUGGGUCUUGUGCCACAGUUGGUCAGGAAGGCUGUCUGGGAUUGUUUGUAAAUGCUCAAACGAGGUGUCACGGGAAGAACGCAUCUCCUUUCUUUGGUUAUGAAGCGCCUUGUAAACAGAAAGUAGGCUCCCAGGUCUGGAGUACACACACCAGGUCAGAGGAUAGAACAGCUCUGUUCUAGGAGGGUUCUGGUACCAGGAUCCUGAAGGGGAAGGGGCUGAUGACUCACGAGGAAACCUGAGGACGGCUUACGAGUGACUUCGACCUUCUUCCUCAAGCCAUCCCCAUGACAAAAUAACCGCCCCACAGGGUUCUCACUGAGUUUCACCUCUCUGCUAUGAGUACCACAGAAGGAAACAAAACUAGGGGCAGAUGGGAAGGAAGGUGCCGCCUCCCCAAACCUCUAGGGAACUGUGCCCUCCAUGCUAGGCAUAUAUUCUGAAAGGAUUUUUAUUGACCCUUGUGCCUGGGCCUCUGGAGACAGUCCUCAUCCCACCAUUUCUUAGGGCCUGCUGUGAGUGUUCCAGGGUUAUCUGAGAUACACUGUCUCCUCCAUUUGGGGGACCAGAUGAGAAGGCUGGCAUUGUUGUUCACGUCUUCAGAGAGUUCGUGACUCUGCCACAUAGACUGUGGCCUGCUCCAAACCUUUGUAAGUUAAAAGCCAGGCUUGCUAGAGGACCU